rnacentral:lncRNA from 10 species
GUCAUCGUGCGUCAGAGUGAGCCCGGAUGGGGCGGCGGGCUUCGGGAGCGCCCGGGCUGAUCCGAGCCGAGCGGGCCGUAUCUCCUUGUCGGCGCCGCUGAUUCCCGGCUCUGCGGAGGCCUCUAGGCAGCCGCGCAGCUUCCGUGUUUGCUGCGCCCGCACUGCGAGUGCCAGAGUUACCUUUAGGCCAGAAAAGGGGAGGAGAGCAAGGACAAAAUGUUUCCUGUGUGAAAAUUUCCAUCUGUCUCUGAAGUUGUGCGUUUUAAAGACACGUAUAGUUAGUGCUAUGGGGAAUUUACAACCCUGAAGAAUCUCCCUAUCCCUAUUUUGUCCCCCUGCAGUAAUAAAUCCCAUUAUGGAGAUCUCGAAACUUUAUAAAGGGAUAUAGUUUGAAUUCUAUGGAGUGUAAUUUUGUGUAUGAAUUAUAUUUUUAAAACAUUGAAGAGUUUUCAGAAAGAAGGCUAGUAGAGUUGAUUACUGAUACUUUAUGCUAAGCAGUACUUUUUUGGUAGUACAAUAUUUUGUUAGGCGUUUCUGAUAACACUAGAAAGGACAAGUUUUAUCUUGUGAUAAAUUGAUUAAUGUUUACAACAUGACUGAUAAUUAUAGCUGAAUAGUCCUUAAAUGAUGAACAGGUUAUUUAGUUUUUAAAUGCAGUGUAAAAAGUGUGCUGUGGAAAUUUUAUGGCUAACUAAGUUUAUGGAGAAAA